GCUAGCAGCUGCAUCACCCUGCAACUCACGACUGGCAGCCCCACUGGAGCUCAGCAGGUGUGAGCCUGUCCAGUACCUGGAUGGGAGACUUCCUGGGAAAGCUGAGGUUGCUGCUGGAA
rnacentral:rRNA from 1 species